GCCGGGGUAGCUAAAUGGUAAAGCAACGCUUUUGUAAAGCGGAGAUUUGGAGGUUCAAGUCCUCUCCCCGGCUCCA
rnacentral:tRNA from 1 species